AGCAGCCGCGGUAAUUCCAGCUCCAAUAGCGUAUAUUAAAGUUGUUGCAGUUAAAAAGCUCGUAGUUGAAUUUCGGGAUCAAUAUGUUGGUCGUGCCUCGGUACGUACUAGCAUAUUGGUUUUCUCCUUUCUGAAGAACCAUGAUGUCAUUUAUUUGGUGUCGUGGGGAAUAAGGACUGUUACUUUGAAAAAAUUAGAGUGUUUAAAGCAGGCUCACGCUUGAAUACAUUAGCAUGGAAUAAUGAAAUAGGACGUUUGAUUCUAUUUUGUUGGUUUCUAGGAUCGACGUAAUGAUUAAUAGGGAUAGUUGGGGGCAUUAGUAUUCAAUUGUCAGAGGUGAAAUUCUUGGAUUUAUUGAAGACUAACUACUGCGAAAGCAUUUGCCAAGGAUGUUUUCAUUAAUCAAAGAACGAAAGUUAGGGGAUCGAAGACGAUCAGAUACCGUCGUAGUCUUAACCAUAAACUAUGCCGACUAGGGAUCGGAUGAUGUUUAAUUUUUAAUGUACUCAUUCGGCGUACC
rnacentral:misc_RNA from 1 species